rnacentral:rRNA from 1 species
AUUGAAAGCUGGCGGCAGGCGUAACACAUGCAAGUCGAGCGAGUGGCGGACGGGUGAGUAAUGUAUGGGAAACUGCCUGAUGGAGGGGGAUAACUACUGGAAACGGUAGCUAAUACCGCAUACCAUCAGAUGUGCCCAGAUGGGAUUAGCUUGUUGGUGGGGUAACGGGUCACCAAGGCGACGAACCCUAGCUGGUCUUAGAGGAUGACCAGCAAAACUGGAACUGAGACACGGUCAAGACUCCUACGGGAGGCAGCAGUGGGGAAUAGUGCACAAUGGGCGCAAGCCUGAUGCAGCCAUGCCGGGUGUAUGAAGAAGGCCUUCGGGUUUUAAAGUACUUUCAGCGGGGAGGCGUUACCCGCAGAAGAAGCACCGGCUAACUCCGUGCCAGCAGCCGCGGUAAUUC